UCUCACUAUAAUGCCAUCCUCUAUCUUUCAACACAUCUUUCUCAGCAACACAAACCAGCACUUUCUCACAACCCAAUUUACCCAAUUUCUGAUCCUUAGCCGGGUUUAUAAGCGGGUCGUCGGAUCCACUAGUCGAAGGGCAAGCAAAACGCCACACACCAGCCAUAUACUCUCUUGCAGCUGCAGGAGUAGUUAACUCUUCCCCAACUGGCUCUGUGCCCCAAAAGUAUGGAUGCUCCAAAACAAUCCCAAUCAACUUAACACCAACCAAUCCCUCACACCCCAAUUUCACAGCCAUGUUGUGCGUUAUAUUAGCCCCAGCACUGUUCCCAGCGAAAAACACUCGUUGGAAAUCUGCAAAUCUAUUUAGCCAAUCUUCAGAGCCGUUUCCAUCGGAAUGGGAGGCAACCCAUUUGAGAGCAGCCCAUGAAUCAUCGUAAGCAGCCGGCAGAGGGUGCUCUGGAACAAGUCUGUAGUCAACAGAGACUGCAACAACAUUGGCCUCAGACACUAAGGCGUUGAGGUAGCUGUGAUAUUUUGCAGAAGAUGAACUUCGAACGCAGAAGCCGCCUCCAUGAAAGUAAAUGAGAAGAGGGAGUUUGGUUUGGGGUGCGCUUGUGGUGGUGGAUUUUGGGAUGUAAAGCCUUGCAGAUAUGGCUGGUUCUUGUGAGAUCACAACGUCUUUUGAUUGGACGCCAGUUUUGGGAUCUGUUGAUGGAGGAACUCUGUCUGUGUCAUUGAGUCUUUCAACUCGACCAUCUUUGUAUACUUUAAUCAUCGGAGAGAAAUCAUAGGCUAAUUCUUCGUUGCUCAUGAUUUGAGUUGAACAAGGAAGAGAAGAGAAUAAGAAACAAGCUAUGGAGGCCUCUGUCUCUUCUCUGUUUUUCUUAUGCAGAUAGCAGAGUUCAGUGCAGGAGCAAUUUGUCAAAAAGGACGACAAGACAAGUCCUUUCAGAUAUAUUGAUUUUAAUUUGAAAUAAGUUAUUAAAAAAAUACUACCACCCGACCAUAAUACCAUAGUAUUAUAGAAUUUCUCUUAUCGUAAAAACUCAUCUAAGGGGGUGUAUCCAAUUCUAACUUUUAAAGACAUUUUUUGAGUGAAUGACUUUUCUAGAGUUGACAAAUUCUUAAUGACUUUUACAUACUUUAUAAAGUUAAGUGACAAACUUUCAUAUACUUUUGUCAUAGAGUUUUAUAGACUUUUAAAUACUUAUUUUUAUAUUUAUUUUACAAAUAGCAUUUAUCUUUUAUGUUGAUUGAACUAGUCGGCAUACAUUGAACAAAAAAUUAAGAGGCAACAAAUUAUAUAAUAAAAUAUUGUAUGCAAACAUAGCAUAUGAGACAAUCAAUAUAAUAAAAUAUUUAUAUGCAAACACAGCUUUUUUUACUAAUAGAAGAAAUAUUCAUCAAUCGAGGGAAAGUAAACGUGUGGAUGAGAAGAGAAGAAAAAUAUUCAAUAUUUUUUUACUAACUUGAAGGAAGUGGAUGACAAUGGGAUACCAAAGUGGAGCCCUGACCAUGAAGAAAAAAGAUCUAUCUGCUUGAUGCUUGAUAUAACAAGGGAAGAAAGAAUUGGAGACGUUUGGAGACGUUUUGGUUCUAUCUUCUCAACUUCCCAAUAUUUUCAUAAAAUCUGGUGUAAAUUAGCAAGACUUUUGGUAGUAAGAAUUACCUUUAAAAGUAUUGAAAAGUCAUUUAUUUAACAAAGUUUUUAAAAGUCAUUAAUAUUUUGGAUACCUUAAAACUUUUAAAUACUCUUUAAAGCUCACAAUUGAAUACAACUAAACUUUUAAAGACUAUUUAAAAGUCACAAUUGAAUACCUUCAGACUUUUAAAGUCAUUAAAAGUCAUUAAAAGUUAUAAUUGGAUACACCCCCUAAGUUAAUAUCCCCAUCUCCUUUUUUUUUUAAAUAAUAAAUAAAUAUAAAAGUUAAGAUCCCCAUCAAUUGAAAAUUCUUCUUAAUUAAAACAGUUAUGCCCUAGAGGAAGAAGAGUUCCAAAGACCGCAUGGACCACCAAAAAAAAAAAAAAAAAAAUCCUAUGAGACCUAGAGGGAUUAUUAUUAGCUUUGAGCAAAACUUGUUCAAAGAAAACUGAACAGGGAUUUGAUUCAAAUCUUAAAACAAAAACAAAAUAUAAAAUUGAAGUACUUAUUCACAUGCAUGGUUAUAUAGGUUUAAUACAAUGUGUAGUUUUCUUUUUUACUUGUAUUAUAUUUGUUCCAUAAUGUUAAACACUCUGUAUUUGUUCCAUAAGGUCUGCGUUUAAUAUUCUAAUUAUAUGGUCUAUGGAUCUCUAAUUUAAUUCUUUUCUUCUGGUUCUCGGUUGCUGAGCAGGAUGUGUCGAAGCCAACUCCGAACAUGGAGAAGGGGGCUGUGGAGGUCGUGGAGGGCAAAGAAUCCAUUUGAACAAACCCAUUUCCGAACAUAGAGAGUUUGAGUUUGAGUUUGAGUUACUAUGAUAUGAUCAUACUAUUGCUGCAUAUUAUUGGGGUACAAGUCAUGAAAUGGGACGAAUAUAAUCUCACAUCAAGUGGGUGGGCAACUACCAAUUGCACUGAGGUCUUGGCCAAAGUGAAGGGCCCUACAGGUCUGUUACACAAAACACGUUUUUGCAAGGGCCAUGGAUAGACCCAGCAGGCAUAUUUGACUGAUCGCCUGAGAAUGACUUGUGUGGUUCACCUUCUUAUAAAGUUUGAGUGUUCAAAAUAGCCCCUCUUUUUCUGAUAAACAUAACAAAGUACAAACCAGCAAUCUAUCCAAACCAUUUGAUCUCUCAUGCUUAAUAUUUACAGAAGAAAGAAAACCGACAAGAACACCAAGCAUAAUCAUACUUGUUUGAUCACCCAAUCUUUCAUAUUUCACAUCAGAUGUUUUAUUUAUUUAAGCAAAAACCAUACAUAAAGCAUAAUCCAAGGCAUAAAACAGAUGAAGAAAAGAAGAACCCAACAAAGAAGUACAACCACUAAACUGGCUUAGAGGCUAUGGCCAUAUUACUAAGCACACCAAAGUCUAAGGCAAAUUAUUCUAAUUCAAGAAAGCAACAAUCUUUUUCUCCAGGGCCACAGCAUUGUCACAAGUUGGAUCUUCCAAAUGGAACACAUGCUUCUCCCCAAUUGCUUCUAUGACCUCCACAACCCCUUUCCACCCACUCUUUUUCAGUGUCUCACUAUAAUGCCAUCCUCUAUCUUUCAACACAUCUUUCUCAGCAACACAAACCAGCACUUUCUCACAACCCAAUUCCCCCAACUUCGAAUCCUUACCCGGGUUCAAAAACGGGUCAUCAGUUCCACUAGUCGAAGGGUAAGUAAAACUCCACAAAGCAGAAAUUAACUCUCCUCCAGGUCCAGCUGCAGGGGCAGUUGAUUCUUCCCCAACUGGCUCUGUGCCCCAAAAGUAAGGAUGCACCAACACAAUCCCAAUCAGAUUAACACCAGCCAAUCCCUCACACCCCACUUUCAAAGCCAUGUUGUGUGCUAAAUUACCCCCCGCACUAUCCCCAUAGAAAAACACACGCUGGAAAUCUGCAAAACUGUUUAGCCAAUCUUCAGAGCCGUUUCCAUCAGAAUGGGAAGCAACCCAUUUGAGAGCAGCCCAUGAAUCAUCGUAAGCAGCCGGCAGAGGGUGCUCUGGGGCAAGCCUAUAGUCAACAGAGACUGCAACAACAUUGGCCUCAGAGACUAAGGCGUUGAGGUAGUUGUGAUAUACGGGGGAAGAUGAACUUUCAAUGCAGAAGCCGCCUCCAUGGAAGUAAAUGAGAAGAGGGAGUUUGGUUUGGGGUGAGCUUGUGGCGGCGGAUUUUGGGAUGUAAAGCCUUGCAGAUAUGGCUGGUUCUUGGGAGAUCACAACGUCUUUUGAUUGGACGCCAGUUUUGGGAUCUGUUGAUGGAGGAACUGUGUCUGUGCCUCUGAGUCUUUCAACUCGACCAUCUUUGUAUACUUUAAUCAUCGGAGAGAAAUCAUAGGCUAAUUCUUCGUUGCUCAUGAUUUGAGGUGAACAAGGAAGAGAAGAGAAUAAGAAACAAGCAACUAUGGAGGCCUCUGUCUCUUCUCUGUUUUUCUUAUGCAGAUAGCAGAGUUCAGAGGGGGAGCAAAAUGUAUGGUUAACUUGUGUUGUGAUGAGGACUUGAUGGACUUUUAUGCACCAUUUAAAUUAAUUCUAAAAAAUGCAAAUUGGUUGUUGUUGGACAUUUUUGCCUUCCCUAAAUGCAUCUAGUUUUGGCAAAUAGGACAGACAAGUCCUUUCAGAUAUUUUGAUUUUGACGUAGAGUUAUCGACAAAAUAAUUCUACUUCAUUUAUAUCAUAUCAAGAUUAUAUGAGAUUGUUUGCUAUCGAGUAACAAAUUAACAAACCAAAGUUGAUCUCUCAUAUUUAAUAUUGACUAAAGAAAGGCAAAUGACUCACUAAUGCGGUGGAUUGGAGCAAUUGCUUCCCCAAAAAAUAUUCAAGAUUUGAGUCCUAACAUCCUUGUAUUGUGUGUGAAUUUAGUAUACUUAAUUGACCUAAGAGCUGUUCAAGGGCAUCCUAAAAAAAAAAGAAGUUAUUAUACAUCCCAAUCCUAUCCUUUGAAAAUAAAAAGGUAGCACCGAAAAAAAGAAAAGAGUGAACCGCUGUUUUCACUUUUCCAAUAAUCAGACAACAGAACUCUUCUUUCAUGUAUAUCAUACCACCUUGUUUUUGGGUGGAACACGCUUAAACUAUGUGUAUAAGGAGGGCAACUGGAAUCUUAACACACUUAAACUAUGUGCAUAAGGAGGGCAACUGGGAAUCUUGCAAGAGCAACUCAUUUGAUUUAGGUGGCAAUUGAUGAUGUGGCUGCCGGUGAGGUGAGGAGGGGAGGUUGGUUUGGUUGUCAUGGGGUCGGGUGGGUAGUCUGGAGGUUGUUUGCUAGGCUUUUUUAUUUAUUUAUUCUAAUUUUCUGUUUCUAUUUUUACUUUUAUUUUUUGACUUAACAGUGUUAAUUUAGAGUUAAGUUCUUAAAAUUCAUUUUACAACGGGGAAAAUUUGCCUUUAAAAGUUUGAAGAUAAGUGGGUAGGAAAAUAGAAUAAGGGGGUGGGAAUAGCAGCAUUCUUAUUUUAACCCAACAAAUUUUCCCCUUUUCUUGAGUUAUUUUAUUUUAAAAAUUAAAUCAAAACAAUAGAAACUAAAAAGGCACAUACGUUCUUAUGCCCAAAAAAAAAAAAAAGGAGUCCCUUCAAUCGAAUUUACAGAUUCUUGAUUAUCCACAAUUCGGGUGCUCAUAUUUGAUUAUCCAAGAGUGCACUGCGCCACAAUUGCAUGCUUCCUCCGUUGUGUUCAAGCGAAAGAUAGGUAAAUAAACUUCCUCAGCAGCACACCAAAACAAAUUCAUGGCUGAUGUUGUUAAACACUCUGUAUUGACAUGUGACAGUUUGGCAUCUUAUUAUGCAGAACUUGAACAAUUUCACUUUACAUCCAGUAGUAGGUAUGAAAUCUUUGAAACAAACCUACCCUAAAUUAGGCAUAAAUGCAUUUCUUGAUUUUGCAGGACAAAAAAAAAGUUCCAUAUUUAACAUCAGAAUGUUUUAUUCAACCAAGAAACGUAUAUAAAACAUACAACAAUGGAAAACCACAAAUCUCUAACUACACCCAAGUUUCAGGCAAAUUAUUCUAAUUCAAGAAAGCAACAAUCUUUUUCUCCAUGGCCACAGCAUUGUCGCAAGUGGGAUUGAUCCAAUGGAACACAUGCCCCUCCCCCUCUGCUUCUAUGACCUCCACAUCCCCAUUCCACCCGCUCCUUUUCAGUGUCUCACUGUAAUGCCAUCCUCUAUCUUUCAACACAUCUUUCUCAGCAACAAAAACCAGCACUUUCACACAACCCAAUUGCUACAAUUUUGGAUCCUUACCCGGGUUUAAAACCGGGUCGUCGGAUCCACUAGUCGAAGGGCAAGCAAAACGCCACACAGCAGCCAUAAACUCUCUUGCAUCUGCAGGAGUAGUUAACUCUGCCCCAACUGGCUCUGUGCCCCAAAAGUACGGAUGCACCAAAACAAUCCCAAUCAACUUAACACCAACCAAUCUCACACACCCCGAUUUCACAGCCAUGUUGUGUGUUAUAUUAGCCCCAGCGAAAAACACACGCUGGAAAUCUGCAAAUCUAUUUAGCCAAUCUUCAGAGCCGUUUCCAUCAGAAUGGGAAGCAAGCAACCCAUUUGAGAGCAGCCCAUGAAUCAUCAUAUGCAGCUGGCAGAGGGUGCUCUAGGGCAAGCCUAUAGUCAACAGAGACAGCUACAACAUUGGCCUCAGAGACUAAGGCGUUGAGGUAGCUGUGAUAUGUUGAAGAAGAUGAACUUCCAAUGCAGAAGCCGCCUCCAUGAAAGUAAAUGAGAAGAGGGAGUUUGGUUUGGGGUGCGCUUGUGGUGGUGGUGGCGGUGGUUGAUUUUGGGAUGUAAAGCCUUGCAGAUAUGGCUGGUUCUUGUGAGAUCACAACGUCUUUUGAUUGGACGCCAGUUUUGGGAUCUGUUGAUGGAGGAACUAUGUCUGUGUCUUUGAGUCUUUCAACUCGACCAUCUUUGUAUACUUUAAUUAUUGGAGAGAAAUCAUAGGCUAAUUCUUCGUUGCCCAUGACUUGGGUUGAAGAAGGAAGAGAAUAGAAUAAGAACAAAGAACUAUGGAGGCCUCUCUCCCUUCUCUGUCUUUCUUAUGCCGAUAUCAGAGUGCAGAGUAGGAGCAAAAUUGAUUAAUAGGUCGUUGACUUGGUUGUUGUUGGACAUUUUUGCCUUCCUUCGGGUCAGGUUUCGUAGUCAUAGGGUUGGAUCCACUGGUAACUGAUUUGGUCAACAAGUCACUCAUUUCAUUUGUAUCAUUGGUUAAGGGAGUAGGUUUGAUUGUUAGAAGGGUAGGUUGGGAGGUCAACAGGCCAUGUUAAGAGAAAUAUUUGCUAACACUACUUUGUUAUACCCAUCCAAUCAUGACAUAUCAUACAUGAUAAAUUUUUCACGUGACAAUCUAUGAUUGGUUAGUAAUAACGAAACAGUGUUAUACAAGUUUUUCUACAAAUCCAAAGUCCAUGAAGAAGGGGGUGGGGACACGAACACACACAUGUGGGUAUUAAUGCCAUGUGUGCGAGUCCGUCAGUGAUUGUAGGGUGGUCAAGGGGUAAUAGGAUGGUCCCUUUACUUAGGGUGGCGAAACCCUUAUCAUAAUUUCAAUUUUAACUUAGUUCAGUUAUAAUGGAAAUUUGAAGAAACAGAUACUUAUGUGGAAUUUGGAAAUGGAAUUUUUCUCGUGGUCAAUUUGUGAAAGUGCAUGUUAUGAGUAUGUAGCAUUUUCGAUCAAUUUUUUUGUCAAUUUUGGGUUUUGAGGUUUCGAGGUCUCAAGGCCAGUCCAAGGGUCUGAAGAUUGAGUUUAUGACCAAACAUCAUAGUCGAACGACUGGGUCCAAGUUAGAAGGUUCCAUAUAUCGGGUUUUAGGACUGAGUUCGAGUUAUGUGUGAUAAUUUAGAAUUUUUUUUAUUUUUUUGGUCAAAUGAUGAUUUAGAAUUGGUGGAUAUGAAAGGAGGGUAAAAAAAAAAUAAAACCAAAACUAAAAAAUGACCUUUUUAGGAUUUUUUUAAAAUUCACCAAUAUUCACGUAAUUUAGUGUAUUGCUAAGUAAUGUAAUUGGAUUCGUCCAAGUUUUUAGUGUGCUCACAAAUGAUCUUGAGUUCAAGUCCCAUAGUACACUAAUAAUUAAUAUUUAUAAAAAAAUCUGGAAUCUAAAAUUGCCUCCUAAAAUUAAAAAAAUUACUUUGAUUUUUGUAAAAAAUAAAAAAGAUUAAAUACUCGUGAUCGACUUAGAAGCUUUUCUAAUUUACCUAAUAUUUGUCCCUUUUGUCAACAACAUCCUGAAACUUGUAAUCAUUUAUUUGCUAAUUGGUCCUAUACUUCACAACUUUUGGAAUCAACUUUCUCCUUUAGGCCUUAAAGCACCUACUAAUAAUCAUGACAGUAUUGAUUAGCUUUGCUCAAAUUGGUCUAAUUUUUCUUCUCUUCUUUAAAACAAAAAAAAAACAAAACAAAACUCAACCGUAUUCACUUUUUUGGUCUUCAAAACAAAACUCACCCAUAUUUUUCAAAAUGAAGACAUAACCGUACUUAAUAUUUUACAGAAGAAAGAAAACCAACACAAAACAUAUUCAUACUUGUUUGAUCAUCCAAUGCUAAACACUCUGUAUUGACAUGUGAAGUGGCAUACACUAGAUCACUACUAAAUUUAAUUACAGUUUGGUAUUUUUCUGACCUCGAAUGGAUUGCUUUGUUGACAUAUUAUUUAUGCAGUAAUAGGUAUAAAGUCUUUGAAACAGAAGCUUUUAUUUCAACCAGGAAACAUACAAGGGAUGAAAUCAUGAAACAGAUGAAGAAAAGAAACCAAAACCACAAACCUAGCUUAAAGGGUAUUGUCAUAUUACUAAGUACACCCAAGUUUCGGAAAAAAAAAAAAAAAAUUCUAGUUCAAGAAAGAAACAAUCUUUUUCUCCAAGGCCACAGCGUUGUCGCAAAUUGGAUUGAACAAAUGGAACACAUGGCCCUCCCCCUUUGCUUCUAUGACCUCCACAGCACCAUUCCACCCACUCUUUUUCAGUAUCUCACUAUAAUGCCAUCCUCUAUCUUUCAACACAUCUUUCUCAGCAACACAAACCAGCACUUUCUCACAACCCAAUUUACCCAAUUUCUGAUCCUUAGCCGGGUUUAUAAGAGGGUCGUCGGAUCCACUAGUCGAAGGGCAAGCAAAACGCCACACACCAACCAUAUAAUCUCUUGCAGCU
rnacentral:lncRNA from 1 species